rnacentral:rRNA from 1 species
AGAUUUCUUUGUUAUUGUUAAAGGUUUAAAUUAAGGGUAAAGUUUGAUUCUUGCUGAAUCGUUGGUUUUAAAUAUAUUUUAUAUGUUAAUUUUUUCUUAAUGGUUGUUUUACAAUAAUUGUGAUUGAAUAUCAAGGUAGUUUGGAUUUGGUAAUAUUUUUUGUGUCGGCUUAUAAUGUGCCAGCAGCCGCGGUUAUACAUUAGAUGCUUAUUAACGGUUUUCUUUUAUACAGUUCUUAUUUUUUUUAUUUUGGUUUUGUUUUUAAGUGAAAUUUUAAUCUUUUUUAUUUUUUUUUCUUUAUCUUGUGAAGCUUUCUUUUUUAAACUGGGAUUAGAUACCCCAUUAUUGGAAGUUUAAAUUUUUAUUUUGAGUAGUAUUAGUUAUGUUCUUGAAACUUAAAGAAUUUGGCGGUAUUUUAGUCCUUUUAGAGGAAUCUGUCUUGUAAUCGAUAAUCCGCGUUGAACCUUUCUUUAAUUUUUUUUGUAUACCUCCGUUGUAAGAAAAUUUUUUUAGGAUUAUUAAUUUUCUUUAGUUUUUUUUAAAAAUUAUUUCAGGUCAAGGUGCAGUUUAUAUUAAAGUUUUGAUGGAUUACAUUGUAUUAAAUUUUUAUUUGGAUUUUUUUUGUAAGUUUGAAUUAAAUUGGAUUUAAUUGUAAUUUUAUGAAGUUUGUUAAUUUGGAAAGGCUCUAUAAUAUGUACACAUCGCCCGUCACUCUCGCUUUACUGUGAGAAAAGUCGUAACAUAGUGGUCGUACCGGAAGGUGUGGCUGGAUUGUUU